CGUUUCCCAAAGGAGAGUCUGGAUUCGUGCCAUGAGACGAGCUGACAGGAAACCUAACACUCUAACAACCACAACAUUGCAAAGGGACACUUUACCUCCAGCACAGCGGAAGACCCUACCAGACCAUCUGGAGAUGCCCCCAACAAUCCUGAUAGGGAGAGCCACAAAUCU